GCGAGGGGGGCGACGCACGUCCUUAGGUGACAUCAUUCAGUUGGGCAGUGUAGGGAGACUACCAGGAAUAAGCCGCGGAGAAGGUGUGGAUGAGGUCAAGUCCUCAUGGCCCGUACGGGAUGGGCUAGGCACGUGCUACAAUGGCGGGGACAGUGGGACGCGGAACCGCGAGGUUGAGCAAAUCCCCAAAAACCGUCUCAGUUCAGAUUGCACUCUGCAACUCGAGUGCAUGAAGGCGGAAUCGCUAGUAAUCGUGGAUCAGCAUGCCACGGUGAAUACGUUCCCGGGCCUGGUACACACCGCCCGUCACACCAUGGGAGUUGGUCUUACCCGACGGCGCUGCGCCAACCGCAAGGAGGCAGGCGACCACGGUAGGGUCAGCGACUGGGGUGAAGUCGUAACAGGGUAGCCGUAGGGGAACCUGCGGCUGGAUCACCUCC
rnacentral:rRNA from 1 species